CGUCCUAUUAGCUAGUUGGUGAGGUAAUGGCUCACCAAGGCUACGAUGGGUAGGGGUUCUUAGUGGAGGGUCCCCCACACUGGCACUGAGAUACGGGCCAGACUCCUACGGGAGGCAGCAGUAGGGAAUAUUGGUCAAUAGGCGCAAGCCUGAACCAGCCAUGCCGCGUGCAGGGUGAAGGCUCUCUGAGUUGUAAACUGCUUUUGUACAGGAGCAAAAAAAUCCCUGCGGGGGUUCUUGAGAGUACUGUAAGAAUAAGCACCGGCUAAUUCCGUGCCAGCAGCCGCGGUAAUACGGGAGGUGCAAGCGUUAUCCGGUUUUAUUGGGUUUAAAGGGUGCGUAGGCGGCUUAUUAAGUCAGUUGUGAAAUCCUAGUGCUUAACGCUAGAACUGCGAUUGAUACUAUU
rnacentral:rRNA from 1 species